rnacentral:misc_RNA from 1 species
AAAAGCUCAAAUUUAAAAUCUGGCGGUCUUUGACUGUCCGAGUUGUAAUCUAGAGAAGUGUUAUCCGCGCUGGACCGUGUACAAGUCUCCUGGAAUGGAGCGUCAUAGAGGGUGAGAAUCCCGUCUUUGACACGGACUGCCAGGGCUUUGUGAUGCGCUCUCAAAGAGUCGAGUUGUUUGGGAAUGCAGCUCAAAAUGGGUGGUAAAUUCCAUCUAAAGCUAAAUAUUGGCGAGAGACCGAUAGCGAACAAGUACCGUGAGGGAAAGAUGAAAAGAACUUUGGAAAGAGAGUUAAACAGUACGUGAAAUUGCUGAAAGGGAAACGCUUGAAGUCAGUCGCGUUGGCCGGGGAUCAACCUUGCUUUUGCUGGGCGUACUUUCCGGUCGACGGGUCAGCAUCAAUUUUGACCGGUGGAUAAAGGCUGAGGGAAUGUGGCUCCUUCGGGAGUGUUAUAGCCCUUGGUCGCAUACAUCGAUUGGGAUUGAGGAACUCAGCACGCCGAAAGGCCGGGUACUUGUACCACGUUCGUGCUUAGGAUGCUGGCAUAAUGGCUUUAAUCGACCCGUCUU